rnacentral:rRNA from 1 species
UUCGGGCCUUGCUGCACCCUUGUCUUUUGCGUACCGUAUGUUUCCUCGGCGGGCUUGCCUGCCGGUUGGACAUUAUUAAACCUUUUUGUAGUUGCAAUCAGCGUCAGAAAACAAAUAAUUAUUACAACUUUCAACAACGGAUCUCUUGGUUCUGGCAUCGAUGAAGAACGCAGCGAAAUGCGAAAAGUAGUGUGAAUUGCAGAAUUCAGUGAAUCAUCGAAUCUUUGAACGCACAUUGCGCCCCUUGGUAUUCCAUGGGGCAUGCCUGUUCGAGCGUCAUUUUGUACCCUCAAGCACUGCUUGGUGUUGGGCGUUUGUCCUGCAGAGGACUCGCCUGAAAGCGAUUGGCGGCCAACGUAUCGGUGGCAGAGCGCAGCACAAUCUCGCGUCUCUCCCCUCUACGUCGGCGUCCAUGAAGCCUACAAUUUCAACGUUUGACCUCGGAUCAGGUAGGGAUACCCGCUGAACUUAAGCAUAUCAAUAAGCGGAGGAA